rnacentral:rRNA from 1 species
AACGAAGGUUGCGAGUCGGUGACGGCGAGCUAAUCUCUUAAAGCCAAAUCUCAGUUCGGAUUGUAGGCUGCAACUCGCCUACAUGAAGUCGGAAUCGCUAGUAAUCGCGGAUCAGCACGCCGCGGUGAAUACGUUCCCGGGCCUU